CGUGCGCGUGUGCCGAAUCCCGCAAGGGAGCCGGGGAACCACCACCUUGGGGUGAAUCGGGCGGAGACCGCCGUGGAAGCACGGUCGGUAUACGCGCGUAGGAGACCUUCCUCUCCGAACCCGUCAGCUAACCCGGUAGGCGAGACGGAAGGAAAGG
rnacentral:sRNA from 2 species